AACCGCUUUCGAGGGAGUUAGUGGUGCUGUGACGGGUGAGUAACACGUGGGGAACGUGCCUUUAGGUUCGGAAUAGCUCCUGGAAACGGGUGGUAAUGCCGAAUGUGCCCUUCGGGGGAAAGAUUUAUCGCCUUUAGAGCGGCCCGCGUCUGAUUAGCUAGUUGGUGAGGUAACGGCUCACCAAGGCGACGAUCAGUAGCUGGUCUGAGAGGAUGACCAGCCACACUGGGACUGAGACACGGACCAGACUCCUACGGGAGGCAGCAGUGGGGAAUCUUGCGCAAUGGACGAAAGCCUGACGCAGCCAUGCCGCGUGAAUGAUGAAGGUCUUAGGAUUGUAAGAUUCUUUCCCCGGGGACGAUAAUGACGGUACCCGGAGAAGAAGCCC
rnacentral:rRNA from 1 species